rnacentral:rRNA from 1 species
AAGUAGGCGGAGGAGAAGAAACCAAAAAGGAUUCCCUUGGUAACGGCGAGUGAAUGGGGAGAAGCUCAAACUUCAAAUCAGGCUUGCCCUGACUUGUAAUCACGAAACGCUUUCCAACAGCGAGCGCGGAUGUAAGCCUUUUGGAAAAGAGCACGAGCAAGGGUUAGGGUCCUGCUUGCCAUUCGUAGUCUCCUGUGUACGGUUUGCGUUCUCAGAGUCGUGUUCCUUGGGAUUGGAGCGCAAAGUGGGUGGUACUCUUCACCUAAAGCUGAACAUCUGCUCAAGACCGAUAGCAAACAAGUACCAUGAGGGAAAGAUGAAAAGGACUUUGGAAAGAGAGUUAAGAGUGCAUGAAGUUGCUGGGAGGGAAGUGAACUGAACAAGUUUCGUUGGUGGGAUUGCCGCGUUGGCGCUGGAUGGAAGUGUGCCUCGUGGCACAUUGCUCUGACAGUGCGAGCGUGGUGUUUCUUGCCAGCAGCGUUGGCCUCUGUGCGGGGAUGAGCAAUUCAGCGUGGGCUCGGGAGUGAAGUUGCGACCUCACGAAAGCCCGUGUUUUGUCUUGCCCCCGGACUGAGCAGAUUGCAAGUGGCAUGUCAGCGAGUUGCUGAUGUUCGCCGUUUUGCAACACCUGACUACAUGGUUUGGUUCGCCCCGUCUUGAAACACGGACCAAGGAGUCUAAUGUGCAUGCGAGUUCUUGGGUUUUACGCACGCCAGCGCAAUGAGAGUGAGUGCUUGGAUUCCUGCACCAGCAACCAACUGAUCGAUUGAGAGAUGUUUGUGGGUGAGCAUGCACGCUAGAACCCGAAAGGUGGUGAACUAUGCCUGAGAAGUGCGAAGUCAGGGGAAACUCUGAUGGAGGCUCGUAGUGAUACUGACGUGCAAAUCGUUCGUCUGACUUGGUAUAGGGGCGAAAGACUAAUCGAACCAUCUAGUAGCUGGUUCCCUCCGAAGUUUCCCUCAGAUAGCUGGAGCUGGGCAGUUUUAUCA